rfam:Schistosoma mattheei strain Denwood, Zambia genome assembly, scaffold: SMTD_scaffold0005525
AUCCAGCUGAUGAGUCUCAACAAAGACAAAACGUGCGUCCUGUAU